rnacentral:rRNA from 1 species
UACUUAGUGGCAGACGGGUGAGUAACAUGUGGGUAUCUACCCUUUGGCCUGGAAUAACACGAGGAAACUUGUGCUAAUACCGGAUAAGUCUUUACGGAGAAAGCUUUAUGCACCAUUGGAUGAGCCCGCACUUGAUUAGUUUGUUGGUAGGGUAAUGGCCUACCAAGACUAUGAUCAAUAGCUGAUUUGAGAGGAUGAUCAGCCACAUUGGGACUGAGACACGGCCCAAACUCCUACGGGAGGCAGCAGUGGGGAAUCUUGCACAAUGGAGGAAACUCUGAUGCAGCGAUGCCGCGUGAGUGAAGAAGGCCUUUGGGUUGUAAAGCUCUUUCGUCGGGGAAGAAAAUGACUGUACCCGAAUAAGAAGGUCCGGCUAACUUCGUGCCAGCAGCCGCGGUAAUACGAAGGGACCUAGCGUAGUUCGGAAUUACUGGGCUUAAAGAGUUCGUAGGUGGUUGAAAAAGUUGGUGGUGAAAUCCCAGAGCUUAACUCUGGAACUGCCAU